rnacentral:rRNA from 1 species
UACAGAGGGUGCGAGCGUUAAUCGGAAUUACUGGGCGUAAAGCGCGCGUAGGCGGCUAUACAAGUCGAGUGUGAAAUCCCCGGGCUCAACCUGGGAACUGCAUUCGAGACUGUAUGGCUUGAGUAUGGGAGAGGGAGGCGGAAUUUCAGGUGUAGCGGUGAAAUGCGUAGAUAUCUGAAGGAACAUCAGUGGCGAAAGCGGCCUCCUGGACCAAUACUGACGCUCAUGUGCGAAAGCGUGGGGAGCAAACAGGAUUAGAAACCCGUGUAGUCC